rnacentral:rRNA from 1 species
AAAUUGAAGAGUUUGAUCAUGGCUCAGAUUGAACGCUGGCGGCAGGCCUAACACAUGCAAGUCGAACGGUAACAGGAAACAGCUUGCUGUUUCGCUGACGAGUGGCGGACGGGUGAGUAAUGUCUGGGAAACUGCCCGAUGGAGGGGGAUAACUACUGGAAACGGUAGCUAAUACCGCAUAACGUCGCAAGACCAAAGAGGGGGACCUUCGGGCCUCUUGCUAUCGGAUGUGCCCAGAUGGGAUUAGCUAGUAGGUGGGGUAACGGCUCACCUAGGCGACGAUCCCUAGCUGGUCUGAGAGGAUGACCAGCC